rnacentral:rRNA from 1 species
AUGAACGCUGGCGGCGUGCCUCAUACAUGCAAGUCGAGCGAACGGACGAGAAGCUUGCUUCUCUGAUGUUAGCGGCGGACGGGUGAGUAACACGUGGAUAACCUACCUAUAAGACUGGGAUAACUUCGGGAAACCGUAGCUAAUACCGGAUAAUAUUUUGAACCGCAUGGUUCAAAAGUGAAAGACGGUCUUGCUGUCACUUAUAGAUGGAUCCGCGCUGCAUUAGCUAGUUGGUAAGGUAACGGCUUACCAAGGCAACGAUGCAUAGCCGACCUGAGAGGGUGAUCGGCCACACUGGAACUGAGACACGGUCCAGACUCCUACGGGAGGCAGCAGUAGGGAAUCCUCCGCAAUGGGCGAAAGCCUGACGGAGCAACGCCGCGUGAGUGAUGAAGGUCUUCGGAUCGUAAAACUCUGUUAUUAGGGAAGAACAUAUGUGUAAGUAACUGUGCACAUCUUGACGGUACCUAAUCAGAAAGCCACGGCUAACUACGUG